GAGGGUAUAGUUGAGUGGUAGAGUGUGUGCUUAGCAUGCACAAGGCCCUGGAUUCAAUCCCCAGUACCUCCA
rnacentral:tRNA from 1 species